rnacentral:rRNA from 1 species
UACGUAGGGGGCAAGCGUUGUCCGGAUUUAUUGGGCGUAAAGGGUGCGUAGGCGGGUUUUUAAGUCAGGGGUGAAAUCCCGAGGCUCAACCUCGGAACUGCCUUUGAUACUGGAAAUCUUGAGUCUGGGAGAGGUGAGUGGAACUGCGAGUGUAGAGGUGAAAUUCGUAGAUAUUCGCAAGAACACCGGUGGCGAAGGCGGCUCACUGGCCCGGAACUGACGCUGAGGCACGAAAGCGUGGGGAGCAAACAGG